GACGAACGCUGGCGGCGUGCUUAACACAUGCAAGUCGAACGAAGUGGCGAACGGGUGAGUAACGCGUAAUCAACCUGCCCUUCAGAGGGGGAUAACAGUUGGAAACGCCUGCUAAUACCCCAUACUGAAGGAGUGGAUGGCGUGUGAUUAGCUAGUUGGCGGGGUAACGGCCCACCAAGGCGAUGAUCAGUAGCCGGGCUGAGAGGAUGAACGGCCCCAAUGGGACUUGGACACGGGCCAGACUCCUAAGGGAGGAAGGAGUUGGGAAUCUUCCGAAAUGGACGAAAGUCCGACGGAGCAAAGCCGCGGGAGUGAUGACGGCCUUCGGGGUGUAAAGCUCUGUUAAUCGGGACGCGGUACCGGAAGAGAAAGCCACGGCUAACUACGUGCCAGCAGCCGCGGUAAUAC
rnacentral:rRNA from 1 species